ensembl:misc_RNA 7SK 7SK RNA
AAAGGUGAGGGUGAUCUGACUGUGUCAUCUGUCACCCCACUCACUGAUCACCAGGAUUGCUUUGGCUAGAUCUGCUAGCUAGGCUGGUGUCCCCUUCCUCCUUUCCCAUUCCAUGUACAUCCCUCUUCACCUUGGUUGAAGAGAAUGACCUUCCCACCUAGAGAAGGACCAUUCCUAAGGGUCAAGGGUAUUCAAGUAACUGCAUUCCCCUACUAGAACCUCCAAAUAAACUCUCAAGAAAUAGUCAGAGCCGCAUCUGUGCCACACCAUUUAUUAUUAGUUUCACUUUUAGAUAUGAGGCAUCCCUUAGCAACAUUACCU